CUAAUUUCCCAAAUUAGAAACCCAAACCCUAGAGACCCCAUUCCUCACCCACGGAAGCCUCACAGCAAGAAAAAGGGGGAAGAUGGGAAUCAGAGAAGAGAAAAAGGAACCAGAGAGGAGGGAGAUGCCGUUGCAACUGCCGCCGUCCUUGUCGCCGUUUGUGGUGCCGGCGAGGAGUGCCGUCGCCAGGAGAGAAGAGUGACGCGGAGGAGGGAGAUGAAGCUUUAUUGUCGUCGCGCUUUGCUGCCACGAGGCCGCCGUCGCCGCUGCUUCGAAGGGAGCCGUAGUCAUCGCCGUCAAGCAUGAAGGGUGGAGAAGAGAGAGCUUGCUCAUCGCAGGAAGCAUAGCCGCGCCAUCACCGUUGAGCCUAGAUGCCAUCGAUGGAAGCCACCGCAGCCGCCUGAGAAGAACCCACAGAGAGAGAGGGAGCCCGAGAGAGGAACGCAAACCUCUGUGUUGCGCUGUCAUUCUGUCGCUGUUCUGCCGGGUUGAUGCUGCCUUUGCUAUCCAAGCUGUCACCAGAGUCUAGAACAGCACCAGCCUUCUUGUUCUGGUUCUGAUAUUCCUAUUCUUGAACCUGUGAUAGUAUCGGUGAUAAUAAAGAACUGUUGGAGUUGCUGCUGCUGCUGCUGUUCCGGCCGCAUUGGCUGUUGUAAACUAGGAAAAAGAAAAGGAUCGUUGCGUUUAAAUUCGACGGUUUCAACUAAUUGAGUGACACAGAUUCGAAGACUCCGUUUGAAGCUGCAGGCGAUUAUAGAUCUUAUUUAUGAGUUAAGUUUAUGACUUGAGUUAUUUUCAUAGAAGUUCCCUCGCUCUUAUUGCUUAACAUUUUUAUUCUAUACAGAGGGAUAGGAUUUGUAUCUAAGGUUUAUUGGAAAUCUUUUGUAUGACAGAUAUUAUUAUUAGUAAUUAUGUGAUUAUUAUUACUUGGUGAUGUUUGCUAUAUGAUUUGAUAAAUAAAAACAAAAAUUUUCUGGUAUUUUUACUAAAAUUGAAUCGCGAUAUUGAACUAAAGGCUCAAUAGUAAAUAGUUAAUAAAGGAAAGCAAGUGGGUAACACCUUACUUUCGGUACGGUCAUGACGUUCUGGAAGUUGGGUCGUUACAUGAUCCAUGCCUGUCCUACGGGUCGUGAGCUCACGUGUCUGUACUUUGCCAGAACACGAUACAUUCGGUAGCUAACCUGGAUAUCAUCCUCUUGAAAACCGGUAGGCGGUACACCACCACGAACCCUACCAUUGCAAGCGGUACACCACCACGAACCUCGCAAGAAAAAACAACACACACACGUGGAUGGUAUACCACCACGAAUCCCACAUACAUUCACUUUCAAAAAUAUGUGGGCAGUAAACCACCACGAACCCCACAAAGCAUUUCACUUAAAAUCAUGUGGGCGGUAAACCACCACGAACCACACACACAUAUCGACACUAGGCAAGCAGUAAACCACCACGAACCUUGCCAGGUCAAAGCUCAAAACAAUUUCAUUAUAAAUUAUUCAUUCAUAUACAUAUCACAAACCAAUGCAACACA